UAGGGAAUCUUCCACAAUGGACGCAAGUCUGAUGGAGCAACGCCGCGUGAGUGAAGAAGGUCUUCGGAUCGUAAACUCUGUUGUUAGAGAAGAACACGAGUGAGAGUAACUGUUCAUUCGAUGACGGUAUCUAACCAGCAAGUCACGGCUAACUACGUACCAG
rnacentral:rRNA from 1 species